rnacentral:rRNA from 1 species
UAGUGGCGAACGGGUGAGUAACACGUGGGCAAUCUGCCCUGCACUCUGGGACAAGCCCUGGAAACGGGGUCUAAUACCGGAUACGAGCCUCCUCCGCAUGGUGGAGGUUGGAAAGCUCCGGCGGUGCAGGAUGAGCCCGCGGCCUAUCAGCUUGUUGGUGAGGUAACGGCUCACCAAGGCGACGACGGGUAGCCGGCCUGAGAGGGCGACCGGCCACACUGGGACUGAGACACGGCCCAGACUCCUACGGGAGGCAGCAGUGGGGAAUAUUGCACAAUGGGCGAAAGCCUGAUGCAGCGACGCCGCGUGAGGGAUGAAGGCCUUCGGGUUGUAAACCUCUUUCAGCAGGGAAGAAGCGAAAGUGACGGUACCUGCAGAAGAAGCGCCGGCUAACUACGUGCCAGCAGCCGCGGUAAUACGUAGGGCGCAAGCGUUGUCCGGAAUUAUUGGGCGUAAAGAGCUCGUAGGCGGCUUGUCGCGUCGGUUGUGAAAGCCCGGGGCUUAACCCCGGGUCUGCAGUCGAUACGGNCAGGCUAGAGUUCGGUAGGGGAGAUCGGAAUUCCU